rnacentral:rRNA from 1 species
GAUGAACGCUGGCGGCGUGCCUAAUACAUGCAAGUCGAGCGAACAGACGAGGAGCUUGCUCCUCUGACGUUAGCGGCGGACGGGUGAGUAACACGUGGAUAACCUACCUAUAAGACUGGGAUAACUUCGGGAAACCGGAGCUAAUACCGGAUAAUAUAUUGAACCGCAUGGUUCAAUAGUGAAAGACGGUUUUGCUGUCACUUAUAGAUGGAUCCGCGCCGCAUUAGCUAGUUGGUAAGGUAACGGCUUACCAAGGCAACGAUGCGUAGCCGACCUGAGAGAGUGAUCGGCCACACUGGAACUGGAACACGGUCCAGACUCCUACGGGAGGCAGCAGUAGGGAAUCUUCCGCAAUGGGCGAAAGCCUGACGGAGCAACGCCGCGUGAGUGAUGAAGGUCUUCGGAUCGUAAAACUCUGUUAUUAGGGAAGAACAAAUGUGUAAGUAACUAUGCACGUCUUGACAGUACCUAAUCAGAAAGCCACGGCUAACUACGUG